ACGUGUACACGUCAAUCGGCGGCGUACACCGGCCGACAGACAGGCUACACCGCUUGCGCUACCGCUACCCUAGGCAUAAGAUACGCGGGGAGAUAUGGAUGGAGAUGGACUUCAGUUAGAGUAUGGGUGUCCGGUGUCAAGUAGUCGGUAACGGUAAAUAGGAGAGGAAUGAGGGUGAGAUUAACCAUCGGCGGCGGCGGCUGCUCCGAUGUCGUGGCUGGCGAGCUCGCAACUGCGCUAGAGGGAGCUGACCGCAGCCUCUAGCAAGCAGCUGUUGCACGGGGUGCGGCAUAAAAGACUGAUGGGCCUCAGUUGCGGUCGAGACGAGGCCGAUGGGACUAAAAGGGCAGCGGCCUUAGUCAGUCAUAUGGUAUAUUUCGGUGCUACGGAAGGCCGAGCCCGAGGCUGGGCGACGAGCGCGCGCGGCUGCCGUCGUCGUACCUCCUUCUGCUGCCGUAGCUGCAGCGCCGCCACCUGGUGGCGCCGGCAGGGCGGGGGGCGCGGAGGUGGCCGGCGACCGCCAGCCGCGAGAAGUAGUAUCGCCACCUCUAGCGCCUCGCCAAGAGCAAGAUGCCGCACAGCCGCUUGGACUAGUCGAUGGACUGCCCCGGCGACCCGCUCUCGUUGCGGUUCCGGCGCAGGCGGUAGUUGCGGACCUUGCCGCACCGCGUCGACGACGGCGACGAGCCGCGGCGGGAGCGGCUGAGGACGGAGCCGGCGAUGGCGUGGUAGCAGUAGCGGAGGGACGAGAUGUAGGACCCAAAUCCGUACGACCGAGAGAGCUGUAACGAGAGGAGGCCCCUAGUGUUUACGUCAUUGUGGCUGCCGCCGUGCGGGACGGGCGGCGGCAGGCCAGACGUCUACCGGCGCAAGAUGUGGAGGGAGAUGGACCACCGGGACCGCGUCCCGCCCGUGUUCGGCACGCAGGUCCGGAAGCCGCGGCUGGUCAAGCUGCGCUCGGUGGGCGCCCUCCGGCAGAGGGCCUCGAGGAAGAAGUUGACCACCAUGAAGCCGUAUACGCGGCCGUGGCGGCAGUGCGAGCACAAGGAGUCGAUGUAGGUCCUGUUGUAGCCGACCCCGGAGCCGAAGCCGUAGGGCACGCAGCACUACGAGACGCGGGAGCGGCAGAAGAACGAGCCGUGGGCGUGGAUGGCGAUGAUGCGGAGGCUGCCGUUCGUCGCCUCGGACAAGCGAGCACGGCCGCUCCGAAAGCGCCACACCGCCUCGUUCGCCGCCUUCAGCUCAGGGGAACGUCGGAGGCCAAGCGUACUUCGAGUAGCUGGCCGUUGUAGCCGCGGCCUUAUGUCACGAGUCCAGCUGCUCCUUCUCGUCCCCCACCACUAGUCUUUGCGCCUGGAGUAGCUCCUUCAGUUCCCGCAGGAGGCCGACAAGGGCUAGACCCGCUGCACGGACUAGAUGCGGCACCGCAAGAGGGUCAGCAGGUGCAAGAAGUGCUUCGUCCGCCGCUGGGAGCUGGCCGUGCAGCCGUUCGCCCAGGUCCACGGUGGCCGCCGCGACGUCUCGAAGUAGUCGUAGUGGUAGCACGAGAAGUACGGGUAGAUGCUGGCGCGGUAGCACGGCGACCGCGCGGCGACGUGCCCGCAGAGGAGCCCGUAGUGGUACGACGUCGCGUAGCCGCAGCCCUACCACGAGAGCGAGCACAGCUACCACCACCGCCGCGAGCACCUCUGUGCGGCCGAGGCCUAGCGCCGCCUGCGGCCGGACCGCCUGGACGGGUCCCACGGCCAGGGCUACUCGGACACCACCUACCACGGCGUCAUGCACGACAAGCCGCGCCGCCUGCACAAGUGGUACCACCCCGACGUCCUCAAGAAGAUGCUGGUCCACGGGCUGUUCGACGCGUCGUAGCCCGACCGCGAGAUGGAGUCGUAGAAGCCGUAGCCGUCGAAGUAGUCGUCGCCGGAGCACAGCCCGUAGCUGUUCACCUCGAGCCUCUCCCCCGUCUCGACCAAGAGGUUGUUAGAGUUGGCGCCGGUGGAGCUGAUGAAGAUGACCGAGUAGCGGCGCGAGUCGCGCGAGCUCGAACACCACAUGCAGAAGAAGCGGCAUUGGAAGUUCAUGUUCUUCUUCCGUCGUAGUCGAUGGCAACCAAUCUUAAUCGCCAUAUAUGAGCACGAUCCGUCUCCUAUCUAUACUUAAGUUCCACAUGUACGAAUGUAAAAAGCCUACCGAUAAGGGGUGAAGCUGUAUGGCCGGCCCGGCUAAUACUGUGCGGUUCUUCCUAAAAAUAUCCUCUUGUACCGAUGUCUUUAAACUAUCCUACUGUGAACAGUAAGAUUCUUUAACAGAACGGAGAAGGAAAAUGCUCGAUAAGUAAAAAUUAGUACGGUCACGUUGCUUGCAGUCUUUACUAUUUUUUAA
rnacentral:rRNA from 1 species